GACAGAGGGUGCAAACGUUGUUCGGAAUUACUGGGCGUAAAGCGCGUGUAGGCGGCAUGACAAGUCGGGUGUGAAAGCCCUGGGCUCAACCCAGGAAGUGCACUCGAUACUGUCGUGCUAGAGUCCCGGAGAGGGUGGUGGAACUCUCGGUGUAGAGGUGAAAUUCGUAGAUAUCAGGAGGAACACCGAUGGCGAAGGCAGGUCUCUGGGCAUUAACUGACGCUGAGGAGCGAAAGCAUGGGGAGCGAACAGG
rnacentral:rRNA from 1 species